GGGGAAUCUUGCGCAAUGCGCGAAAGCGUGACGCAGCAACACCGCGUGAGGGAAGACGGCCUUAGGGUUGUAAACCUCUUUCAGAUGGGACGAAGGUUCGACGGUGAAUAGCCGAUCGGAUUGACGGUACCGUCAGAAGAAGCUCCGGCUAACUACGUGCCAGCAGCCGCGGUAAUACGUAGGGAGCGAGCGUUGUCCGGAAUCAUUGGGCGUAAAGAGCACGUAGGUGGAUUGAUCAGUCUGUCGUGAAAGUCAACGGCUCAACCGUUGAAGGCCGGUGGAUACUGUCGAUCUAGAGUAUGGAAGAGGCGAGUGGAAUUCCUGGUGUAGCGGUGGAAUGCGCAGAUAUCAGGAGGAACACCAAUAGCGAAGGCAGCUCGCUGGGACAUUACUGACACUGAGGUGCGAAAGCGUGGGGAGCAAAC
rnacentral:rRNA from 1 species